AGAUGCGAGGGCAAUCUGGCUGCAACACCUGUCACCCCAUUGAUCCCCAGGGUUAAUUUGGCUAAUCUGGCUGGCUAGGUGGGUGUCCCCUUCCUCCCUCACUGCUCCAUGUGUGUCCCUCCAGAAGCUGAGAUAGGUUGAAGAGGAAGGCAUUCAGGGAAUAGAGAUGGACCGGUCUUUGGUUGAGGGUAUAUGAGUAAAUGUGCUCCCCUGCUAGAACCUCCAAACAAGCUCUCAAGGUCCAAAGGGUGUGCUCCCUAACAAAGUUGCAGACUCCAGAUGAUUAGGCUAGGGCCUAGAGGA
rnacentral:snRNA from 1 species